GGGGUCGAUUUUGGUUUCGACUGUGUACAUUGCGCCAGGGGAAGCGUGCCGGUGCAGGCUAGAGACCACCGUAAGCGUCGUAGCAACUAAAAUAAACGCAGAGAAAAACUCUCAGCGUGACUACGCCCUCGCUGCCUAAUUUCAGCGACGCGUGUCUGUCAGCCUAGAUUUCGUUCCUGAUCUAGAAUCUGGCAUCGACUAAGGAACUUGCCGCAUAGUUGUGUUAUUAGGGCUAUGUGGGACGCACACUGAUAACUGGGCUUAUCAUCUGGAGGAGUUCGUCCCAUCCAGAAAGUCAAGUAAAGAUUCCGCGCGAACUGCGCACGGAGAAGCCCUGGCAAGGUGGCGCAGGACCCGGGUUCAAUCCCCGGCGACUCCACAA
rnacentral:tmRNA from 2 species